rnacentral:rRNA from 1 species
AUUGAACGCUGGCGGCAGGCCUAAUACAUGCAAGUCGGACGAGAGGCGGACGGGUGAGCAAUGUAUGGGGAUCUGCGUGAUGGAGGGGGAUAACGACGGGAAACGGUAGAUAAUAGCGCAUCCCAUCCGAUGAACCGAUAUGGGAUUAGCUUGUAGGUGAGGUAACGGCUCACCUAGGCGACGAUCCCUAGCUGGCCUGAGAGGAUGAUCGGCCACACUGGGACUGAGACACGGCCCAGACUCCUACGGGAGGCAGCAGUGGGGAAUAUUGCACAAUGGGCGCAAGCCUGAUGCAGCCAUGCCGCGUGUAUGAAGAAGGCCUUCGGGUUGUAAAGUACUUUCAGUCGAGAGGCGUUACCGACAGAAGAAGCACCGGCUAACUCCGUGCCAGCAGCCGCGGUAAUAC